rnacentral:lncRNA from 1 species
CGAGAACGAGGCUCCGCGGGGUCAGAGGGCAUCACCUAUUGUUCUGCACUUCAAAACAUAUAAACAUUAAUUAAUCAAGGCUGGCCAUGUUUCUCAGGGAAAAAGAAAAAGUAGGGUAUGUUGUACCUACGAGUGCUAUAGGCCAGAAGGACUUCUGAUGUUGUAAAUGAAUGUGUUAGAAAUCAACGGCGUCAGUGAUUACGUUCUAUCUUUUCCUGGAUGAAAGGACAUCAAACAUUCGCUCUGAACCAAGGUUAAGCAGCAGAAAAGUCCUGCUGAUUAGCAGUGCAGGUUCACUGGUGUAAAUGAGGAAUCUCUGAUCCUGCUUGAGUCUAUAAUCUGCUUGCAUGUUUACUGGCUAAAAGCAGGCGUGAUGCUGCCGUGACCCAGGCUGAUCCAGAUCCUCGGAGCAUCUUUUCCUAUCUUUCCUUCCCUUUUUCUGUGCGGCAACACAGCCUGUUAUUUCAAGGAAAGUGCAACCUUUGCCUUGGGCUUUAAUUAUGUUCAAUUUGCCAAGCCGAGCCUGAAAAAUUGAGAGGGUGAAAAAGCUCUAUGACCUAUUUAUUAAUGCUGCGUUGAGUCUGAAGCUGCACUGAGAUCAGCACUGCAUCACUCAACAAUAACAGGCGUCUCUGGAGAACACGCUCUUCUCCACUGCAGGAAUUCACUGCUCUAUUAUACACCGCCGGACACUUCAUUGACUUGAGCAGCACUGAAGUAAAUGACAUUAGUUUUGUAGCUGAGUGUGAGCGGGAUCUGCUGUGUGUUUUUGGAAAUGGAUGUUAAAAGGACAGAAGUAUGUCUAAUCAAAUAAAACCUAAUUAUGUAUAUUAUAUAGACGGGAUGUAGCCUAUUUAUAAUUAGAUAUGUGUGUAUUAAAUAGAGUUUAUAUUAUUUUUAGAUAGUCAUAUCACCGUAUUUAAGUUUUUUUUUUAUCUUAUGAUGUGAAUUAGUUUAUUGUGUUUUGUUUUUGUUUCUUGUACAAUUUCAGUGAGUCUACAAUAAAAAUCUCCCCUCCUCUGCU